rnacentral:pre_miRNA from 7 species
GUCUAGGACCCCUGGGUGGUUGUGCACUUCCCGGCCCAUGCACCACAUAAAAGACCCCCAUGGGGAGACCCUUACUUAAGUCUUGGGAAAGCGCGCACCCAGUGAGACGCUGAGACUG